UCCUUCCUCUUUGCUUUAGUCUCAAACGGUGCUUUUGCCUCUUUCUAUUCCCUCUGUUUUCAAUUCAAGCAUCCAUUUACUUUCAAUUCUUCGCAAUCGGUAAUUCCUUGUCUUCGUUUUGAGCCUUAAAUUUCUCCGAUCUCUCGCUCUCACAACACCGCGCUUUGGUAUCUCUUUCUAGGGUUUUGAGUUUGUACUCGUGAAGAAUCAUAAAAUUUUAGGGUUUUUGAGUUCGCUAUACGGUAAAGAGAUUUUUCCUCUGGUUUCAAGCUGAAUUCCUGCAAUUGUUCCGUCAAGGUUUGAGCUCUUUUUACAGUUAAUUAGUGCUUACUGUUUAAUGAUGGCUUCUAUCUCAAAAUUUUAAAAAUAAUUAUUAAUUGACGGCUUAAUUUGGUAGAUAAUAUAACAUAAUAGUAGUAUUUAUAUUCCUGAAGAUUUUUGUUCUAGAGUGCAUCCAUGAGAGAGAAGGAAGGGUAAGGUGGGAAUGAGACUAGGAAUAGAGGAGUAAAAAAGAUGCAAUUGAAGACAAUACCCAUUUGAGAGUAAAAAAGCUCCUUUUUAGUUUUUACUUUUUUUUGUUCUACUUUAAUGAACUUUUUUUAAGGAUCAUAAUGAACACAACUCUUUAGAGUAGUAGUUCUUCAAUCCCUCAUUAUUAUUUCAUUUGAUUGAUCGGUAAAGGAUCUCACUUUUGAUGAACUUUUAUUUUGGAUCAUUAGGAAAACAAUUAUUUUAGAAGUGCUUCCUCAACCCCUCAUUAGAUAUUCAGUUUGAUAAGUGAAGGUCUUUAGUGUCUUCACUAUCCUAUCUUGUCCCCUUUGGUUCACUUGACCCAUUUUUUUACAUGCCAAACUUCCCUUUUGUGAAUGAUCAAGUUGUUAUAAAGAAAUAGCCAUUCAUAUUAAUUAUAUUUUGUUAUUCAACUAACUCUUCACUCUUUUCACUGCGGUAAGGGCGUAGUGUGAUGUAUGAAUUAAGCCCGCAUCAUGAGUUCCAACCUUGCCUAAUGAAUGCCUAUUUUCUAUUCCUCUAAAAAAAAAAUUUCAACUUCGUAAUAUUUGGAUUUCUUUAUUUUUUACGUGUUUAUGCAUUGGUGUCCGAAGCUUUAUUUUUUACGUGUUUAUGCAUUGGUGUCCGAAGCGACAAAGUUAAAUGUGAACUCCGGAUGGGAGCAUAAGGUAAACCCAUAACUCGUGAACAACAACAACAAACUCAGUGUAAUCCCACAAAUG
rnacentral:lncRNA from 1 species